rfam:Brassica oleracea var. oleracea cultivar TO1000 chromosome C7, whole genome shotgun sequence
GGAAUAUAAAAAUCCGUCUUUUAAUUUUUAACUAAAAAAAUUAAGAACUAAUUCUUAAAACUCUUAUUUAAUAACCGAUUUUUAGUUUUUUUAGUUAAAAGUUAAAAGACAGAUUCUUAUAUUCC